AUUGAACGCUGGCGGCAGGCUUAACACAUGCAAGUCGAACGAGUGGCGGACGGGGGAGUAAUGCUUGGGAAUAUUGCUUAUGGAGGGGGAUAACUACGGGAAACUGGAGCUAAUACCGCGUACCAUAGGAGGAGCCCCAGUGGGAUUAGGUAGUUGGUGAGGUAAAGGCUCACCAAGCCGACGAUCUCUAGCUGGUCUGAGAGGAUGACCAGCCACACUGGAACUGAGACACGGCCCAGACUCCUACGGGAGGCAGCAGUGGGGAAUAUUGCGCAAUGGGGGCAACCUGACGCAGCCAUGCCGCGUGAGUGAAGAAGGCCUUCGGGUUGUAAAGUACUUUCGGUAGGGAGGCGUUACCUACAGAAGAAGCACCGGCUAACUCCGUGCCAGCAGCCGCGGUAAUAC
rnacentral:rRNA from 1 species